rnacentral:rRNA from 1 species
CUGACCGAUAGUGAACCAGUACCGUGAGGGAAAGGCGAAAAGAACCCCGGAGAGGGGAGUGAAAUAGAACCUGAAACCGUAUGCGUACAAGCAGUGGGAGCCUACUUGUUAGGUGACUGCGUACCUUUUGUAUAAUGGGUCAGCGACUUAUAUUCAGUGGCAAGCUUAACCGUAUAGGUAGUAGCGAAAGCGAGUCUUAAUAGGGCGUUUAGUCGCUGGGUAUAGACCCGAAACCGGGCGAUCUAUCCAUGAGCAGGUUGAAGGUUAGGUAACACUGACUGGAGGACCGAACCCACUCCCGUUGAAAAGGUAGGGGAUGACUUGUGGAUCGGAGUGAAAGGCUAAUCAAGCUCGGAGAUAGCUGGUUCUCCUCGAAAGCUAUUUAGGUAGCGCCUCAUGUAUCACUCUGGGGGGUAGAGCACUGUUUCGGCUAGGGGG